AACUGGAUGAACAAGAGCAGAGAGCCUCUGGUGGGUAACGCUGCAGCCUGCCAGCGCCCGCCCUCUCUCAACAUAGCAGAGUGUGCAUGGUAAGGAAGUGAAUCACCUCCUUGGGGGAUGGUGCUGUUUUUAUGAAAACCUUUGAUCCUUGGUGUCCUUUAAUUGAUCUGUUCAACAAAUAUUUACUAAACACUUGUAAGCUAAGCUAACAUUAGGGCAGUGACUGAGGUGAAAACCCAGCUCUUUAGACAGCUAUCAUCCUAGGAGAGCUUCCUAGAAGCAGAACCAAGAAGCCAGAGGUUCUUCCUAGGAUGAGCUUUGGCUUCCUAAGGAAAUCUGAAAUGUUGACCCUGGUCACAACCUCCCAGCACAGCUUUGGAAUGAGACAUCAGCAUGGCCUCCUCUGGCUGAGCAGAGCCUCUGGAGCUCCACACCCUGCCUGCAGGGAGCCCUCAGGGUGCCCUCCAGAGUGCAGGGAGAAAC
rnacentral:lncRNA from 1 species